CACCGCGGUUAUACGAGAGGCCCAAGUUGACAGACACUCGGCGUAAAGGGUGGUUAAAUAAUAGAUUAAACUAAAGCCGAACGCUCUCAGAACUGUUAUACGUACUCGAGAGUAAGAAGCCCCACCACGAAAGUGGCUUUACCCACUUGACCCCACGAAAGCUGUGAAA
rnacentral:rRNA from 1 species